rnacentral:sRNA from 1 species
GCCGGGCGUGGUGGUGCACGCCUGUCAUCCCAGCAGCUCAGGAGGCUGAUGCAGGAGGAUCGUGAGUUCAAAGCCAGCCUCAGCAAAGGUGAGGCACAAAGCAACUCAGUGAGACCCUGUCUCUA